ensembl:misc_RNA 7SK 7SK RNA
GAGAAUUGGCUCCAGCAUCUGUCCCUGCAUUAAUCACCAGGGUUGAUUUGGCUGAUCUAAUUGGCUAGACCCCUUCCUC